rnacentral:rRNA from 1 species
UACGUAGGGUGCAAGCGUUAAUCGGAAUUACUGGGCGUAAAGCGUGCGCAGGCGGUGAUGUAAGACAGUUGUGAAAUCCCCGGGCUCAACCUGGGAACUGCAUCUGUGACUGCAUUGCUGGAGUACGGCAGAGGGGGAUGGAAUUCCGCGUGUAGCAGUGAAAUGCGUAGAUAUGCGGAGGAACACCGAUGGCGAAGGCAAUCCCCUGGGCCUGCACUGACGCUCAUGCACGAAAGCGUGGGGAGCAAACAGG